UACGUAGGGGGCAAGCGUUGUCCGGAUUUAUUGGGCGUAAAGAGCGUGUAGGCGGCCAGAUAAGUCUGCUGUGAAAACUCGAGGCUCAACCUCGAGCUGUCGGCGGAAACUAUUUGGCUAGAGUCCGGAAGAGGAAAGCGGAAUUCCAGGUGUAGCGGUGAAAUGCGUAGAUAUCGUCAAGAACACCUAUUGCGAAGGCAGCUUACUAAGCUUUAACUGACACUGAGGCACGAAAGUGUGGGGAUCAAACAGG
rnacentral:rRNA from 1 species